AAUUCAGAGAAGAAACAAAAUGUAAAGGAGUGAUCUGCAUAGCAAGGGAUUAGGCAGAUGUUCUAAGAGGUAACCUGAUUCAACUGAGAAGUACCCCUUCCUUUCACUUGACCUUCUGGACACAAAGAUGACAGAAAACAGACUGCAAGGUCCAUGAAGGCAAGGAUUCUGAUGGAGCUGGUGUGUCAGGCUUUCCUUCUUUUCUAGUAAAAUAAUUAAUACUCGAGAGGCAUUCAGUAAAAAUUGGCUGAAUGAACAAAUGAAUAUAAUACCAUUGUUCAUUGUUUUCAGAUGAGAAGAAUGAGGCCCAGAGAGGAAAACUAACCAUCCAGGGUCCCAAGAGGUGACCCUUUAAUUUGAGUCUGGUCUAUCUGAGUCCAUACACUUGUUACUAUGUCAUACUGACUUUGUAUGCUGUUUUGCAUUAUUUCGCUUUCUGAUAAUGUUUCUCAGAAUACACUGAUAAAAACCAUAUUUCAAGAAGAGUCAUGUACCACAAUGUCCACUGCAGCUCUAUUUACAAU